rnacentral:rRNA from 1 species
UACGGGGGGGGCAAGCGUUGUUCGGAAUUACUGGGCGUAAAGGGCUCGUAGGCGGCCAACUAAGUCCGACGUGAAAUCCCAAGGCUUAACCUUGGAACUGCGUCGGAUACUGGAUGGCUUGAAUUCGGGAGAGGGAUGCAGAAUUCCAGGUGUAGCGGUGAAAUGCGUAGAUAUCUGGAGGAAUACCGGUGGCGAAGGCGGCUCACUGGUCCGGUACUGACGCUGAGGUGCGAAAGCGUGGGGAGCAAACAGG